CCUUUUGGCAAGCGAUGCCAGGGCAAUGGCGAAUUCCUGUUGCUACGGCAUUCCAUCGGACGGGCACGGAGUGGAUCGCCCAAACUCUUUGUGACCUGCCUGACACGGAGAGGAUGUAACUCAUGAUGACCCUUUGGCGCUGCUGGUAAGUACGCGAUGAAAUGACGCAUCAUAAGCAGCCUACUCUGGUCGAAGCAUCCAAGAGGUUCCUUCUCAGCAAGCCUGUACCACAUGUUCGGGUUGCGGACAAGGCGCGAUCACGAUGGACUCCUCCAGCGGAUGGGUGGACCAAAAUCAAUGUCGACGGAUCGUUCUGUGCCUCCACCGGAAAAGACGGCACCAGAAUGAUUCUGUGGGACAGUUUGGGGAGGGUUUGAACCUUGCCUUGCAGUGGACGCACCUACCUAUUGAAGUGGAGACAGACUGCCGUGUUGCUCUUAAGAUGAUCACAACAGUGGACAGAGAUCGAUCACGUUACUCCAUGCUGGUUGAUCAGAUCAGGAGGCUUAUGUCGGAAGGGAGAGUAGUUAAUUUGAUCAGACUUCUUCUUCUUGUCCUGCUGCGGGAAACAGCUAGUGCAUUGCCGAACCAGUAACGUGUGUACGUCCACCCCUGCUACUUGGAGGAUGAAGUGUGAAAGCCACCAAAGUCGCCAUGGUUGCCCUUGCUGCCGGCGUGGUUGAGGAGCUCCGACGCAGCGCGUUGAGGAGGAGCUUUGCGGCGACCAUGGCGAGGCGCUCAGGCACCAAAGGAGAUGGCGGCCAUGGCAAGUGGCGUUGGGCUCAGGCAGCACCUGCUGCUGGCCUGCGAGAUGGCGCGAGCCUCCGACCGGCUUCUCCCAUACGGCUGCUCGGACGCGGUUUCGGGCGGUUUCGUGCGCGAGCUGGUGGCCACAGAGCUUCCCAGCCGGCAGCAAAGUGGCAAGCAGCAGCGGCGGUCGGCAACAUGCGCAUGCAGCAGCGGCAAGCAGAGCGCGCUCGCAGCAGCAGCUUGCACAGCAUCAUCCUCAGAAGUUGGCAAACCAUCCAUCUGCUGCCGACCAUGAUGCCAAAAACAAGGACGCCCGGCAAAUGCGUGUUCAGCAGGUAAGCUCUUCUAGAUGUGGUUCGCACUAAUAAUUUGUUCCUGACCUGCCAUUGCUGAAGUCGUGUUUUUCCGCUUAUUUUAAUAAAAAAAAUGAGGUGCCAAAAAAACUGUGGUGCUUCAUAGUCAGAAACUUGAUAGCUGUCAAACUUAAAUACAUUUUCCCCUAAAUCUAUGGUAAAUAAUGGUAUCUUGUUGCACAAAUUGGGUUAUUAAGUUUUAGAUAAGGUAGUAUACAGUCAGUUUGACUUAUUGAGACAGUUACUUGAAGGAUGCAUCAAAUUAUCAGGAUAGAUCUGAAGAUGAUCAGCAUAACAGCAUUGGCCAGUUUGUGCCAUUGCUGUAUAGGUCCGUAUCAUCCCUAAUUGGGAAAUGGAACCAUGAUCUGCCUGCCCAUUGUGAUUCUGUCCAAUUAUUCUUCAAUAUUUGUAUGUAAUAGGCUAGCAUCCAGUCAUUGCAAUUAACUUAAGAUGGAGCUUCACAAAUUGAAAGGCAUAAUUAAGCACUCUUUCAGAGUUAUCAAACGUUCAACAUAAACUCUGUGUUUUAUGAUCAGGGGAUACACAAUAUUGUGGAAACAAUCAACGUGUGCAUCUUUGAUUUUUGAGGCUGCAAUUUGUAAAGUAGUUAUUGUGCAAAGAUGGCUUCAGUUUGCAGCUUAGGCGUAAGCAUUCUUUCAGCAUUCUCAAACAUUCAAUAUAUACUCUUUGUUUACGAUCAGGUGAUGUACAAUAUUGUGGAAAUAAUCAACAAGUGCAUCUUUUAUUUUUGCGGUUGCAAUUUGUGAAGUAGUUAUUGUGCAAAGACAUCUUCAAUUUGCAGUUUUUUUGGUGUGGAGAGACUCAAUAGUUAUGUGUUCCACUAUCUACAAUCCAUUUGCUUAAUAGUAUCACAUUGCAAUUUUCAUUUUAUAAUGAUCCUGCAGCCAAGGAAAAUAAUGCUCGAUCUUCUGGUACAUGCCUCGACGUGCCGCUCAUCUAGCUGCCAAUUUCCUAACUGCCUUAAGGUCAAGGAACUAUUUCUGCAUGGGAAGCAGUGCAAAAGGCGUGCUUCAGGAGGGUGUGCCCUGCGCAAAAAAAUGUGGUACAUGAUUCAGUUCCAUGCCCAAGCUUGCAGAGAUUCAGGAUGCAGUAUGCCAAGGUGCAGGGAUUUGAAAGACCAUCUUAGAAGGUUGCACCAGCAGUCCAAAUCCAGGAGAGGGCUGCUGUUAACGAAAUGAUUAGACAACGGGCAGCAGAAGCUUGGGAUGGUUGAACUAGAGGAAUCUAGGCAAGACGUUCAGAUGGAUCUUUCAACUGGAGAUGGAAGAAGGUGCUGGGCAUUCUUCGCCGAUGAUUAACAUAUGGCUCGGAAGCCUGCCUUUUUUUCUGAAGGAAGGGUCAAUCUCGUUGACGUCAUGUCGUCUAUUGUUGAAAGACAAUGGUUAAGCUGUUUUGUUUCCCCCUCCAAUUUAGUUUCUUUUACCUCAGGAGGGGUUAGUAGGAAGAAAAAGGGAGAUGGGGAUGUGCACACAGGGCUCUGUUUAUUUCUGCCCCAUCCCAUUUUGUAGGUCCAAUCUUUAUGUUUAUUUAAAAGUAUAAAGCAAAGUAAGUAAAUCAUGCA